AUUCAGAGUAUAAUUCUCUAGUUGAUGACUAAGAGUUUUUAACCUUUCGCUUAAAUUUCUUUGCACCUUUUAAGCUUAUGGCCGGUUCACUGAUAUUUCUUUUGCCUAUGGAUGAUAUGAAAACCCCAACAGCCAAGAGCUAAGAAUAACGGAAGUCUUUUGAGUUUCCCUUUUAUUUUAUUUUUUUCUGGUAUUGAUGACCGAACAUAAGGAUUGAACUAUGAUGUGUUUAUCUGUAGUGGUGUUUGGAUUAGUUGAGUAUAUUAGCCUUAUCAAGUUUCUAUACUUCCUCUUAGCAAGAGCGGUUAUUGUUUCCUUCAAUUUUUUGACUGUACAGGGUUUAUCGUUUCCUUCAAUAAAAUUUGGUAUUUGUGUUCAUUCCUUUUCAGCAAGUCAUGAGUCUCUGAGAUCUCUUUUGGCAGUUGAGGAACAAGAAAGGUUAUAGAUCAGGAUAUUCUAAUUUCUCUAUACUUGAUCACCGAACAUUGAAUAGUGAUUUGUUCUUAUGCAAUAAACAUAAGGAUUUAAUUUUGAUUUGUUUCUCUACAGCAAUGUUUGGAUUUUUUCGUGUAAUGUCCUGCAUCUCAUGGAGUAUGUUAUGCGGCAUAAUAGUUGAAUUGUAAUUUGCUUCUCUGCAGUGUGAAAAUCGCUUACCGUACUGCAUCUCAUGGGGUAUGUUAUGAGUGACCGAGUCUCCCUUAAUAUUUUAAUUUAUCUAAUAGUCCUUUAUUACCUGUUAUAAUUUUGUUGAAUUAUUGUUCUUUACAGGGAUGUGUGGUAAUUAGCAAGAGCUCGGGACUAUUUGGUUUCAAUUCUUUUAUAACAAAACUUUAUUUUCUCUGCUGCUAUUAUGCACGGGUAAACUUGUGGAUUGGGAAUGCUUACCUCUUUAUGACAGGUGUAAACGUCUGUGUCAGCCAUUUAAUUUUCUCUUUCUAGUCCACACUCAGACAUUUCUUUCAGCAACUGAGUUAUUUAAUCGCAAAGAGUGUUUUGUUUCCUUUCAUAUUCUUUGUUGUCAAAACAACCUUUGUUUCUUUCUUAUCAGCUAUAGUAUUUAGUUUCACUGCGAUCUCGGGAUGUGUUAUUUGGCAGUGAUGUGGUUAUUUAUUCGAGGAUUGAUGUGUUAUUUGUAAGUGAGGUGGUUAUUCAUUCGAGGAUUGAGUUCCAUUCCCUUUGCCUUGCAUUGUUUGUGUUCAUUGCUAUCAAACAACUUUCUUCCUUUUAAAUGUAUGGAGUCUAUUUUUUUAAGAUGAAAUCCCCACUAAAUGUUAAUGUUUUAUUUUUUUCUUUCUUUUUCAUCAUGUCCUAGUUAUUUGCGUUUCUCAUAGGCUUGGUCUCAUCCCUUCGACUUGCAUUUGUUCGUGUUCAUUGCUAUUAAACAACUUUCUUUUUUUAAUGUAUGGAGCCUUUUUUGCUAUGUCUAGAUGUUGAUUUGCUUGUUUUCAUUCCGUUUUAGGUGUUGAUUUGUUUGCGUUCAUUCCUUUUUAGGUGUUGAUUUGUUUGUGUUCAUUCCUUUUUAGCAUGUGGAGACCUCAAGAAUGGUUAAGGAUUAAAAUCUGGAAGUGUUAAGAACGACCAAUAAUUCAGGAUAACCUAAUUUCAUGAGUUUCCUUUCUAUUUGUCUUUAACUGGGACUGGCUAUUUGAAUUUCUCUAGUUUUUGAAUUCCUUCAAUUCAUUAAUUCAUCUUAUGCUUUCUUAAAUUCUUGGUCUUUAUUACCAAUAUCUAUUUUGAAUUUAAAUAUAGUUCUUAAAUUUUUUAUGUCUAGGUGUGGAUUCGUUUGUGUUCAUUCCUUUUUAGCCUGUAAGACUGGUUGAGGAUUAAAAUCUGCUAGUGGACACGAAAAACAAUCCACGGAUGUGAGGUAGGAUAUCUAAAUACUGGAAGGAGAUGCUUGAUUCUGUAGGUUAUCCAUACUCUUUGAUGACAGAUGCCUACUUGAGUUUGGAUGUAGUUAUUUAUUUGAUGACAGAGAUCUAUCAUAUGUAACUUUUUGUUAGUUCCUUUUCAACAGGGGAUUCUGGUUGAGGAUUAAAAAACAUAAAUUUGAAUAUUGUUUUUGUCUGAUUAUUGAAAUAUGUCAAAUCUAGCUGUUUGAUAUGUGAAUUUCUUGAUUCUUUUUCAGCAAAUCAUAGGUUAGUAAUAAUAAAGUGCUCAGGGAAGAUGUCUCCCCUUCUUUUUGAAACUUUGUAGAUUGAGCAUAUUUUCCAGACUGAUAUAUGAGGUAGGAUGUGGAAACACUUGCCAGGGGAUGUGUGAAGCUUUAGGUUUUGUUACCCUUACAUUUCUUGUGUCUUUAUUUGUGACUGACUAGACUUCUUGUUUGGAUUCUAAUUUUUGGUUGGAUUCAUUGCUAACCUUGUAGUUUAAGUGGCAGUUCUUGUGGGUUUAGAGGUCGUGUAAUUUGGGGAGGAUUUUUGUCUGGCCGAACUUCUUAAUAUGAAAUACUGAAUUGAUAGUGAAAAAAAGAUAAAGAAAAUAUAUCAUGGCCAUUAAAAGUUUAUGUUUCUCUUCGUGUUCAGCCAUGCCACUUGCCAGUGAACUCUUGCUUCUUUCUCUAUUGUUCCACAUGCAUUUUUUCAUAAUUUUUACUCUUUUUUUUAAGUUGUCCAUCUCUAAGUAAUUUAGGCUUCUCGUAGCUUUUACCAGUCCUGGAUUCAUAGUAAAAUUUGACCCUUUUACAUGGUGCAAUUGAAAUUAAGGAGAGAAUUAUUGAUCUUUAGUUUUAUAGUACUGAAUUAAUUUUGGAUAUGCUUAGGUCUAGCAAAUUUGAAAGGUCAUUUUCUUAGUUUUUACUUCAUUUACUAAAUUAUCAAGAGUAUUGGACAAUUUGAUUUUUUAGUGUUUUGUUUGCUGCAUUGACAAAUGAAUCUUGUAUUCUAUUGUUUUUAAUAGUUUUGGAUUACAUUCUGAAUAUGGCAUAUGAUGAUCUCUUCUAUCUUCCAAAAUGCGAAGGAUCUCCAACAUUAGAGUUGUAUUUAGUUCUAUCUCCAAUGUGAGAAUGAGAAAAUUGAGAGCUCUAUUUAGUUUUAUCUCCAAUUAUCUCUGUAAUAUGAGAAUGAGAAACAACAGUAGUUGGAAUGUUUUCUUGCAAUCUUCCUGUGCUAUGAUUCAGUUCUCUCUCCAUAUACGAGAAUAAGAAAAUGAGAAAGAGAAACAAGAUUAUUUGGAAUGUUUUGUCGUAAUCUUCUUGCACUAUGAUUCGGUUCUCUCCCAAUAUGCGAAUGAGAAAAUGAGAAACAACAGGAAAGUUUUGUCGUAAUCUUCUUGCGCUAUGAUUCGGUUCUGUCCCCAAUAUGCGAAUGAGAAGAUGAGAAACAAUAGCAUAUGAGAGGUCCAUUUAGUUCUAUCUCCAAUAUGAGAAUGAGAAUCAAAUGUACAUGAGAUUUCUAUUUAGUUUGAUCUCUAAUACGAUAAAGAAGAGAAACAAAAGCAUUUGGAUUGUUCUCUUUGUAAUCUUCGUGUGCUAUGAGCAACGCCUCCCCUCGAGGCUAUGGUAACGGGUGAUGCCUCUCUAUUCCAACAUGAGAGCUCUAUAUAUUUCUUUGGGGUGGGGUAUCAAUUUAUGAUACCAUGUGGAAGCAGACACCAUCUUUUUGCCGUCUAUAUUUCUCAGCUCUUGCUGAACUUAGUUUUCUUGAAUUGCCAUGCUUCUUUUUAAACUUUUACAGUAAGGCAAUAGAUAUGUGGGGGCAGGUUUUGGAAACAGUGUAUGGAGAUCUGGUGAAACUUACUGUGAAGCUUUAGGUUUUAUUAUGUUUCCAUUCACUAUCUUAUGUGCUUGAUUUGAAAUGGCUGUAUUCUCUCUUAUUGGUUUAAUAGUAGGAAGCUACACGUGUCAGUCAUUGUGUGUCUAAGCUAGGGCGAUUCUUAAUUAUGCUUAUCCUUGAUCUCAUGAUCCCAACUAUCUUCCAAAAUGAGAAUGUUCUCCAUAAUGACAGUAAUAUUUAGUUAUAUUUCCAAUAUGAGAAUGAAAAACUAUCUCUCAAGGCUACGAGUGACCUAUUCCAAAAGGAAAGCUCCAACAUGACAGCUCUAUUUACUUCUUUCAGGUUGGGGUCUCAGUAUUUGUGAUAGGAUAUGGAAGCAGACUGUAUCUUAUUGCUAACUAUAUUUCUCAAUCUUAGUGCCUUGUUGAUUUUGGUCUUUAUUAUUUAAUGUUUUUGAACUUGAUCACCUAACAUAUGGGCUGAACUGUUGUUUAUCUACAAUAGUAUUUCAAAGUGUUUUUGUAAUCUUCUUCGUGCUCUUGGUUUUGAAUUUGUGGCUUCCCUUGAUAAUUUAGAUUUGUGAAUUUAUGUUAUUGUUUUUGUACUUUGUCAUGUCAUCUUUUUAAGAAGAUUAGUUUUCUCAAAUCGCCACGAGUCUUCUUGAGCUUUGCCACGAGUAUUCUUGAGCUUUUACAUGAAGGAUGUAGGGGUCAGGUUUUGGAAAUAAUGGAUGGAGAUACAGUUAAACUUUAGGCUUUAUUAUCUUUGCAUUUAUUAUGCUGAUAAAAAAACAUCUUUGCAUUCAUUAUUUUCUUUGUUGUUAUUCCUUUUGCUACUCUUGUAGAGUUGGAGUUCUUGUAAUUGGGCAUUUGACUUUGAUGAUUUGAUUAUCUUUUACUUGUGUUGUAGUGAACUUUGAGCUUUGCCAUUAGUCUUCUUGACCUUUGCCAUGAGUGUUCUUGACCUUUGCCACGAGUUUUCUUGAGCUUUGCCAUAAGACUUUUUGAGCUUUGCCAUGAGUCUUCUUGUGCUUUGCCAAGAGUCUUCUUGAACUUUUCCAUCAUGAGUCUUCUUGAGCUUUGUCAUGAGACUUAUUGAGCUUUGCCAUGAGACUUAUUGAGCUCUGCCAUGAGACUUAUUGAGCUCUGCUAUCUAGUACUUCUUGAGCUUUGCCAUGUAGUACUUCGUGUAGCUGCCUAUUGAGUUCUUCUUGUAGCUUUAGCCCUUGAGUUCUUCUUGUAGCUUUGCCUAUGUAGACUUAUUGAGCUUUGCCACGAGUUUUCUUGAGCUUUGCCACGAGUCUUCUUGAGCUUUGCCAUGAGUCUUCUUGUGCUUUGCCAUGAGUCUUCUUGAGCUUUGCCAUCAUGAGUCUUCUUGAGCUUUGCCAUCAUGAGUCUUCUUGAGCUUUGCCAUGAGACUUCUUCAGCUUUUCCAUGAGACUUCUUGAGAUUUUCCAUGAGACUUAUUGAGCUUUGCUAUCAGACUUCUUGAGCUUUGCCAUGAGUCUUCGUGAGCUGCCAUGAGUCUUCUUGAGCUUUGCCCUGAGUCUUCUUGUGCUUUGCCAUGAGACUUCUUGAGCUUUGCCAUGAGAUUUCUUGAGUUUUGCCAUGACUCUUGUUCAGCUUUGCCAUGAGUCUUCGUGAGCUUUGCCAUGAGUCUUGUGCUUUGCCAUAAGUCUUCUUGAGCAUUUACAUGAAGGAUGUAGGGUUUAGGUUUUGGAAACAGCGGAUGGAGUUACAGUUAAAGUUUAGAUUUUAUUAUCUUUGCAUUCAUUAUGCUGAUAAAAAAAAUCUUUGCAUUCAUUAUUUUCUUUGUUGUUAUUGUUUUUGAUACUCUUGUGGAAUGGGAGUUCUUGUAAUUGGGCCUUUGACUUUGAUGAUUUGAUUAUCUUCUACUUGUGUUGUAGUGAAAUUUGAGCUUUGCCAUGAGUCUUCUUGAGCUUUGCCAUGAAUUUUCUUGAGCUUUUACAUGUAGGAUGUAGGGGUCAGGUUUUGGAAAUAGCAGAUGGAGAUACAGUUAAAGUUUAGGUUUUAUUAUCUUUGCAUUUAUUAUGCUGAUAAAAAAAAAUUUGCAUUCAUUAUUUGCUUUUCUGUUAUUCUUUUUCCUACUCUUGUGGAGUGGGAGUUCUUGUAAUUGGGCCUUUGACUUUGAUGAUCUGAUUAUCUUUUUCUACUUGUGUUGGAAUGAACACUUACCAUGGAAGCUUCAGGUUUUAUUACUUUUCUACUCACUAUUUUUCUUAUGUGCUCGAUUUGGAAUGUCUACAGUUUCUCUUAUUGGCUGGAUAGUUGGAAGGUAUUUCAUUGUAUGUAUCUAAGCAAGUGAUACGUCUAGGUCCUCCAUCAUCUACCCUUAUUGAUUAUAGUUUUCUUGAAUUCAUUGCCACGAGUUUUCUUGAGCUUUUCCAUCAUACUUCUUGAGCUUUGCCAUGAGUCUUCUUGUGCUUUGCCAUGAGUCUUCUUGUGCUUUUCCACGAGUCUUCUUGAGCUUUACCAUCACGAGUCUUCUUGAGCUUUGCCAUCAUGAGUCUUCUUUAGCUUUGCCAUGAGACUUAUUGAGCUUUGCCAUGAGACUUAUUGAGCUUUGCUAUCAGACUUCUUGAGCUUUGCCAUGAGACUUCGUGAGCUUUGCCAUGAGUCUUGUUCAGCUUUGCCAUGAGUCUUCGUGAGCUUUGCCAUGAGUCUUCUUGUGUUUUGCCAUAAGUCUUCUUGAGCUUUUACAUGAAGGAUGAAGGGUUCAGGUUUUGGAAACAGCGGAUGGAGUUACAGUUAAAGUUUAGAUUUUAUUAUCUUUGCAUUCAUUAUUUUCUUUGUUGUUAUUCUUUUUGCUACUCUUGUGGAGUGGGAGUUCUUGUAAUUGGGCCUUUGACUUUGAUGAUUUGACUAUCUUCUACUUGUGUUGUAGUGAACUUUGAGCUUUGCCAUGAGUCUUCUUGAGCUUUGCCAUGAUACUUGUUGAGCUUUGCAAUGAGUCUUCUUGAGCUUUGCCAUGAAUCUUCUUGAGCUUUUACAUGAAGGAUGUAGGGGUCAGGUUUUGGAAACAGCAGAUGGAGAUACAGUUAAAGUUUAGGUUUUAUUAUCUUUGCAUUUAUUAUGCUGAUAAAAGAAAAAAUUGCAUUCAUUAUUUGCUUUUCUGUUAUUCUUUUUGCUAGUCUUGUGGACUGGGAGUUCUUGUAAUUGGGCCUUUGACUUUGAUGGUCUGAUUAUCUUUUUCUACUUGUGUUGGAAUGAACACUUACCAUGGAAGCUUCAGGUUUUAUUACUUUUCUACUCACUAUUUUUCUUAUGUGCUCGAUUUGGAAUGUCUACAGUUUCUCUUAUUGGCUGGAUAGUUGGAAGGUAUUUCAUUGUAUGUAUCUAAGCAGGAGUGAUACGUCUAGGUCCUCCAUCAUCUACCCUUAUUGAUUAUAGUUUUCUUGAAUUCAUUGGCCUUACAGGAAAACUAAGCAAUGAAGUGUGGUGUAGGAUGUAAAAAUGGUGGGUGGAAAUUCUUUGAUCGGUGAAGCUAAAUGUUUUUUUCACCAGGACAUUGUUGUGUUCAUCUGAAUUAAUUUUUAACUGGCACAACUUGUCAGUUUGAUUAUAAUUUUGGUUGUAACUUGUUGGUUUGAUUAUAAUCUUGGUUGUAUUUUGAUAAUGUAUGGUUUGUGGGAUGAGCAUCAGACAACUGCGGUUGGGCUUUGAUCUUUGAUUUGAUGGUUUGCUUCUUGGUUUGAGAAGUUCUACUAUUUAAUUUUGUUGACUUCUAUGCAUAAUUCUAUAAUAUAGGUGUUUUGUUCUUUUAAUAGUUUUCCAAAACCUUUCGAUUCAUUAUUCUUGAUCCCAAACAUAUGGGUUGAGUUGUGAACUUCUUUGGAAUUUUUGCAUGUAACUCUUACGCUGAAAUUUUUGAAAUUAGUAUAAGAAUGAUCCUGAAAUUGAAAUUGUUUAAAUGCUUCACUUUUGCAUCAACAAUCUCCAUAUGUGUUUCACGUUCCUCGAUUUUUGAAAUUUGCAUUUUUUUGUUUGCAACACAUUGAGUCUUUAUCUGAGGUUUCUCUUUCAGUUUAUUAACUCAACCAGUGAUGGAAUAUAGUGGGACGACUAACAUGUCUAAUCAACCCGUUACAGAUUUUUUUUUCUUUUUUUCCUUUAUUGUUUAUUGAGUUGAGUGUUUUCAAAAUAUUUUUGUAACCACUUGGGAUUGAAAGUCCAACGUUAUGCCUGGCAUUAGAUAAUUGGACUUCUUUUAUUAGUUAUCCAAACCGUUCAUUUUUUUCAUAUUUGUUCUAUUUGGACAGGAAUUGUAUGCGAGAAAGAUAAUGGAGUUUUGGAGGUGAAUUUGUUUCAUAUUUGUUCUAUUUGGACAGGAAUUGUAUGUGAGAAAGAAAAUGAAGUUUUAGAGGUGAAUUUGUUAAUUCCAGUUAAAACGAAGAACUCUUGAUAAAGUAAUUUUCUUUGUUAUUCUAUUUCUCUAUCCAAUCCAGUUGUUGCAUUAAUCCCUUUUCAGCAUACAGAACUGUGACCGAUUUUAAGUUUGUAUGCAACGACGUUUUUUGAAAUUGUGUCACAAACUUAUUAUUAGGACUUAUUACCUUGGUUUUAUCUGAUCAUUCUGGACGUGCUAUAUUCUUUUGUGGGUUUUUGUUUGGUUUCAAUUUUCAGUAAUGUUUGAUAAUUGGAUUUUUUUGUUUGCAUAUCAGAAACUGAACCAAUCUCAAGGCAUUAAGUUUCUAUAGUUGGAGUAGUAUGAGACAACUUUGUUUCUCUGAAAUUUAGAUAGUCUCUAUAAUAUUGCAUGGUAGUUUUUUUUAUACGAUGUACAAGUAUAUCCAGUUUUAUUUGGAUAUUUUUUAACAACAAUGUUUUUUGGAAUAUGAUUGCUUGAGUGCUACCAUGUGAAAGUUCAACUUAAAACGACUACAACUCAUAAUAGCCUAAUUUCUUCUAUAUGAGGUUUCACCUUUUAUUUAACUUCUAAGGUCUUGAUAACCAACAUUAGGAUUGAAUUGUGAUUUGUUUUUCUACCGUGGUUUAUGAUUGGAUUCAAACAAUGUCUGGUUCUCAUCGAGCCUUUAAUGAGUUGGUUUCUAAGUUUAAGAAAUCGUCUAAUAUUUUCUAAAAUUCCUCCCUUGGAACAAGUGUUUUUAGUUUUCUUGAAUUUUUGCUCUUUACAGUUAAGACAUGCAAUGGAUGUGUGAGGACAUGUAGAAACAUGGGAUCAAUUGAAGUCUUAGUUUGUGUUAAUUGGUUUAGGAUUUCCUCUCUAUUUGAUAUUUUCAGAUUUGAUCACCAAAUAUAAGGAUUUUCCGUUGUCAUUUGUUUCUCUGCAGUGAUGUUUGCAUUAUGUUUCAUGCUACGUCUAAUGUAUCAUGUUGUCUGGAAGUUUUUAUGGCUCUUGGUAACAGGCUUUACAAGGGUUUCAGAGGAUCAGUAAUUUCAGAGGUGAUACCUAUUAUCAUAAUUGUGUCUUGCAGUGUGAAUUGUUCAAGUUUAUUCAUUUGCAUAAGGGAUCAGUUAUUCAUUCAUUUUUGCAGAAGAUUAGAUGGCUAACAUUAUUGUCUGUUCAUUUGAUCCAGUAGAGCCCAUUCUAGAAAUGUGAACUCCUCUUUUUUGUUGAUUUUUAGAUUUGGAAUUGUUCAAGUACCAACAGCAUGAUUUCAUGGUCUCUUAUGAUUUCCCCUGAAUUCUUGGUUGUUGUUUUGACCGGGUAGGGUUUGGGUAGAGUUUUGGUUUUUGGAUUAGGAAUUGUCCAACUACCAACCAUGUGUGUACAAGUUUAAAAUAUAUGAUGUGUUUGUCAGAUAUUUUUUUGGGAUAUAUAUAUAUAUAUAUAUAUAUAUUUAGUUGCUAGUUUUAUUUAUUGAAUUACAUAAAUGCUUUAUUAAUUUGAUCAUUUGAUUAUAGCAGAGUUGUAGUGGUUUUUAUAAAAUUAUUCUUGGUAGUUAUAUAAUUAUUCAUGGUUGUUAUAUUACCUUUAAUAGUUAUUGUUCUUGGAAAAAUAAUCUAGAAGUCCUUUGUUGACUAAUGAUUCUCUAACAUUUUUUUAAAUUUUAUAGUAGUUGUACUUUGCUUUGACAAUUUAGUUUAGUUUUUUUUAUUGACUCUGAUUGUUAAUUAAAUAUUUAUUUUCAUUAGAAUGUUGAUGAUGUGAAUGAUUUGUUUUAAUGUUGAUUGUGAUUCUAUUUUAUAAAAUAUUGUGUUAUGGUAAUCAUUAAUUAAUUGCAUUGUAUGCACUCAUUUAUCAUAUUGUUGUAUGACAAAUCUUAAAGCCCUGUAUGAGAAAGGUUCCUGGGUUGCUCUGUGGAAAGUUCUAAAACUCGCUCACAAUAGUAAAUUAUGGAUCAUGUGCUUUUACGCAAGAAUUAUUAGUAAAUUCAUGUACAUGAAUUCUUAGUAUAGUUCAUCUAGUUGAUGAUGACGAGUUUUUAACCUUUCGCUUAAAUUUGUUUGCACUUUUAAGCUGGUUGGUUCACUGAUAAUUCUUUUGCCUAUGGAUGGUAUGAAAACCCCAACAGCCACGGGCUCAGCAUAACGAAAGUCUUUUGAGUUUCCCUUUUAUUAUUAUUUUUUUUCUGGUAUUGAUGACCGAAAAUAAGGAUUGAACUAUGAUGUGUUUAUCUGCAGUGGUGUUUGGAUUAGUUGGGUAUAUUCGUCUUAUCAAGUUUCUAUACUUUCUCAUAGCAAGAGGGUUUAUCGUUUCCUUCAAUAAAAUUUGGUAUUCGUGUUCAUUCCUUUUCAGCAAGUCAUGAGUCUGAGAUUUCUUUUGGCGGUUGAGGAACAAGAAUGGUUUUACAGGAGAUCUAAUUUCUCUAUACUUUAUCACCAACAUUGAAUAGUGAUUUGUUCUUAUGCAGUACACAUAAGGAUUUAAUUUUGAUUUGUUUCUCUACAACAAUGUUUUGAUUUUUUCGUAUAAUGUCCUGCAUCUCAUGGAGUAUGUUAUGCGGCAUAAUAGUUGAAUUGUAAUUUGCUUCUCUGCAGUGUGAAAAUCGCUUACCGUACUGCAUCUCAUGAAUUGUUCUUUACAGGGAUGUGUGGUAAUUAGCAAGAGCUCAGGACUAUUUGGUUUCAAUUUUUAUAUAACAAAACUUUAUUUUGUCUUUAAUAGUUUCCUUCAUUGAAAAAUUGAAUUUUGAACUUGGUUCUUGUAAAGCAUCAAUGUCGUUGCCUAAUUUGUGUUUCAAGAUUAUUGAUCUUUCGUAUUGAAGUUCUGAAAAUUUUAUUUUUUUCUUAGGUGGAGCAGUAUUGAAAAGAUGUUAUUCCAUUCAUUUUAGUAGUGUAAUUAGCAAGAGCGCAGGACUAUUUGCCUCCAUUCUUUGAUUAUAGAAGUUUUUAUUUUGUUUGUUUCCUGCAUCUACAAAUGAAUUUUGAACUUGUUCUUGCAUAAUUUAUCAUUGGGAGAAAAUGAAUUGGUGGUGUAGGUUUGGGAAACAGUGGAUAAACACCUGUGGAAAUUUAGGUUUUAUUCUGUGUUUAUUAUUAUAAUGCUUACCUCUUUAUGAUAGGCACUGUAAACGUCUGUGUCAGCCAUUUAAUUUUCUCUUUCUUGUCCAUACUCAGACAUUUCUACCAGCAACUGAG
rnacentral:lncRNA from 1 species